UCUUCAUCAACAUGACCUUCAUCAUCAUCUUCAUCUGGACUCUCACAGCGUUUGCUCAAGAGUGUAGAGGACAGAUCACCGUCACUCAGAGUCCCUCAACGACAGCAGCUCGACCAGAAGAAACAGUCAAAAUCAGCUGUAAAACCAGCACAGAUGUGUACGUAUGGGCUAAUCGGGAUCAUUAUUUAGCCUGGUACUUACAGAAACCUGGAGAAGCUCCUAAACUCCUGAUUUACGAAGCUAACAAAACUAUACACAGGAACUCCAUCUAGAUUCAGUGGCAGUGGAUCUAACAGUGAUUUCACUCUGACCAUCAGUGGAGUCCAGACUGAAGAUGCUGGACAUUAUUACUGUCAAGAGUUUUCAUUGCAGAACAAGUGGUAGUUAUUGUGCGAGUGAUCAUGUGUUCACACAGUGA